ACUCGAGUGGCGAACGGGUGAGUAACACGUGGGUGAUCUGCCCUGCACUUCGGGAUAAGCCUGGGAAACUGGGUCUAAUACCGGAUAGGAGCCAUUUUUAGUGUGAUGGUUGGAAAGUUUUUCGGUGUAGGAUGAGCUCGCGGCCUAUCAGCUUGUUGGUGGGGUAAUGGCCUACCAAGGCGGCGACGGGUAGCCGGCCUGGGAGGGUGGACGGCCACAUUGGGACUGAGAUACGGCCCAG
rnacentral:rRNA from 1 species